rnacentral:rRNA from 1 species
CUCUUGAAACACGGACCAAGGAGUCUAACGUGUGCACGAGUCACUGGGUGGUAAACCUAGAGGCGCAAUGAAAGUAAAGGCUAGCUUGCUGGCUGAUACACGACCCUGCGGUCCGCCGUGGGGGCAGUGUAGCCCCGUCUCAACUGCUUGUCAGUGGGGCGGAGGUAGAGCGUACACGUUGGGACCCGAAAGAUGGUGAACUAUGCCUGAGCAGGACGAAGCCAGAGGAAACUCUGGUGGAGGUCCGAAGCGGUUCUGACGUGCAAAUCGAUCGUCAGACUUGGGUAUAGGGGCGAAAGACUAAUCGAACAUCUAGUAGCUGGUUC